rnacentral:rRNA from 1 species
AUGGGAACCUUCGACGCGGCCGUCUUCGGCCUGGACGCGGCGCCUGACCUCCGCCUCGCCGCGCACCAGUACAACCAGCUCCUCCACCUGCUCGCCUCCGCGGACGGCGCCGUCUUCCCCGUUCACCCGGCCACCGCCGCGCGCCGCGUGUUCGCCGGCAUGCUAGAGGCCAGGGCGCCCCCGUCCGAGGCCACCAUCACUUCGCUCGCCUGCAUCUUCGCUGCAGAUGCCGAGGGCGCCUACGAAGCCUUCAGGCUCCUCUCCUCCAUGGGGCAGAAGUACGGCCUCGCGCUGCGCCUCCGGUCCUACAGCCCCGUGCUUGCCGCGUUCCGGCGCGCCGGGGAGGCUGGCAAGGCAUACGCGGUCGAGGCCCACAUGGCGGCCUCCGUUGCAUCGCCGUAA